AUGAGCUAUCGGAGCUAUCUAACUAAUUGGAUAUUUAUGAUCGAAUUAAGUUAUCCUCUUAUAAUUUCUCGUUUCGUUUCUAUUUCGCAUUUGUGCUGCGAUUCCCGAGCAGUUGAAUAUGGCUCGAGAUGAUGAGAAUCGCCUUUGUCUCCGUGCGAUCAAUUUCACACAAGAUUGACGUUGCUCGAUGCGGCAACGUUCCAUAUCUUGCUUUUAAUUUUACUUAGAAUAGAUGUAUUACAUGCAAUACAAUACAUGAGAUGAUAUGCUCGUCGCGUUAUACGUGCAAUACAUGUCGUCGACCGACCAAAUAUUAUGCGUUUUUACAGAUCAUCAAUAUAUGAGCAUCAAAUCUUUCUAUACGCUAUGGAAAUUAUAUUUCAAUAGCAAGUAUUAAUAUGAAAUUAAUAUAGAGGUUUCGCUUGUCUGUUAAACGAGUCGUCACUCCACGCAAUCUCAAAAUCAUGAAAUUUUGAUAAAGCAGUUUUGUCUUCCGCGUAUUCAAUUUUGCAUGCGAAAAGAGCCGCACGCAGUUCUUUAUAGACUCAAACUGUCGAUUUUGUACUUAUGUAGUAUCAAUUUCGAAAAUGAACAGUAGUGUACGCGAAGUUCCGAGAGUUUCACGAAAAAAGUGAUCACAAUCGGCGAUUAUAAUCGUUCUUAGUAUUCUCUUUGACUAAUGUAUAAACUCUGAAAACGCAUAAGAAUUCGCAGCGCAAAUGUCAAGUAUUUAAAAGAUGUUUAGUCGCAGAUAAGGCACGUACCUUUUCCCCCUAAAAAAUAACAUUUCAAUGGCGUAUUGAAGACAUCUAGACAUCUAUUACCUGGUGCAGAUUCGCAAAAGAAAAUUGAUUCAGCACUUUCGUAAGAGAGAUACUGCAAAAGAGGUAAUUUGAAGAUUAAGAUGCAUCGUUCGAACAGUGCACUUUCGUUCCCUGUCGAAUGUGUCGGCCGACUUGAAGAGCUCGAGUAAUGAGAUGCAAGACUGACAGGUAUAUUAUUCGAACACAAUGGCCUGGAGAGCUUAAAAACUUUAACAUCGUAAUACCAAUGGUCACAAGUUCCAUUGAUAUUCUGGUUAAGAUUGAAAGCCACUCGCGUGAACCUCAUCGACGUCGUGAUGACAGGUAUUCUCUUCCUUGGAUAGUACACAGGCCAUGACAAAGGCAAUUUGUUUUGUUUUUAGUUUUGACUUGGUUUAGGCAAGACUUGACGAAUUUAAAAAAUCAAUUAAAAAUUUCAUGAAUUAACUAAUCAAAAAAUGCUUUAUCAAUAAUCUUCCUCAUUGUUGGAGACAUAUUAAUUGUGGCCGUUGGUUUUUACAAAUAUCACACGAAGCAAUCG